rnacentral:sRNA from 1 species
AAAUAUAUUAACUUAGGAGUGCACAUGGUACGUAUAGCAGGCAUUAACAUUCCUGAU